CGGAACACGUACGCAACCUUCCUUUAACUGGAGAAUAGCCCCUCGAAAGAGGGAUUAAUACUCCGUAACAUAUUGAUAAGGCAUCUUAUUAAUAUUAUAGCUCCGGCGGCUAAAGAUGGGCGUGCGCCUGAUUAGAUAGUUGGCGGGGUAACGGCCCACCAAGUCUGCGAUCAGUAACUGGUGUGAGAGCACGACCAGUCACACGGGCACUGAGACACGGGCCCG
rnacentral:rRNA from 1 species